AUUGAACGCUGGCGGCAUGCCUUACACAUGCAAGUCGAACGGCAGCACGGGUGCUCGCACCUGGUGGCGAGUGGCGAACGGGUGAGUAAUAUAUCGGAAAGUACCUCCUUGUGGGGGAUAACGCAGCGAAAGCUGUGCUAAUACCGCAUAAUCUCCAAGGGGGCAAGCAGGGGACCGUACGGCCUCACGCAAUUAUAGCGGCCAUUACCCGACUAGCUAGUUGGUGAGGCAAAGGCUCACCAAGGCAACGAUCGGUAGCUGGUCUGAGAGGGCGAGCAGCCACACUGGGACUGAGACACGGCCCAGACUCCUACGGGAGGCAGCAGUGAGGAAUUUUGGACAAUGGGGGCAACCCUGAUCCAGCAAUGCCGCGUGAGUGAAGAAGGCCUUCGGGUUGUAAAGCUCUUUUGUCAGGGAAGAAACAGCAGCUCUAACACAGUAUGCGAAUGACGGUACCUGAAGAAUAAGCACCGGCUAACUACGUGCCAGCAGCCGCAGUAA
rnacentral:rRNA from 1 species